rnacentral:rRNA from 1 species
AGACUCAGUGAAAUUGAACUCGCUGUGAAGAUGCAGUGUACCCGCGGCAAGACGGAAAGACCCCGUGAACCUUUACUAUAGCUUGACACUGAACAUUGAGCCUUGAUGUGUAGGAUAGGUGGGAGGCUUUGAAGUGUGGACGCCAGUCUGCAUGGAGCCGACCUUGAAAUACCACCCUUUAAUGUUUGAUGUUCUAACGUGGACCCGUUACCCGGGUUGCGGACAGUGUCUGGUGGGUAGUUUGACUGGGGCGGUCUCCUCCUAAAGAGUAACGGAGGAGCACGAAGGUUGGCUAAUCCUGGUCGGACAUCAGGAGGUUAGUGCAAUGGCAUAAGCCAGCUUGACUGCGAGCGUGACGGCGCGAGCAGGUGCGAAAGCAGGUCAUAGUGAUCCGGUGGUUCUGAAUGGAAGGGCCAUCGCUCAACGGAUAAAAGGUACUCCGGGGAUAACAGGCUGAUACCGCCCAAGAGUUCAUAUCGACGGCGGUGUUUGGCACCUCGAUGUCGGCUCAUCACAUCCUGGGGCUGAAGUAGGUCCCAAGGGUAUGGCUGUUCGCCAUUUAAAGUGGUACGCGAGCUGGGUUUAGAACGUCGUGAGACAGUUCGGUCCCUAUCUGCCGUGGGCGCUGGAGAACUGAGGGGGGCUGCUCCUAGUACGAGAGGACCGGAGUGGACGCAUCACUGGUGUUCGGGUUGUCAUGCCAAUGGCACUGCCCGGUAGCUAAAUGCGGAAGAGAUAAGUGCUGAAAGCAUCUAAGCACGAAACUUGCCCCGA